CAGUGUUUCCUUUUCUUUUUCUUGCCAGGGGCCAUCGGGUUUUACUUUUCUCCCAAAUGACCCAGAUGUUGGAUAUUCUCCAAGACUAUAUGGAUUACAGAGGUGACACCUUUUGGCCACUACAUUACCUAAGGCUCUGUUAGACUUAACAGUCCAGAUAGGUCCAUGAAGAAUAAUAUGGGAUAUGAGAAUAUUACAAAGGAAAGCAGGGCUACAGCUAUGAGCGUGUGGAUGGUUCUGUGAGAGGAGAAGAGAGACACUUGGCCAUUAAGAACUUUGGACAGCAGCCCAUUUUCGUUUUUCUCCUGAGUACUAGGGCAGGUGGAGUUGGCAUGAACUUAACAGCAGCAGAUACUGUGAUUUUUGUUGACAGUGAC
rnacentral:lncRNA from 1 species